rnacentral:rRNA from 1 species
UGGAGAGUUUGAUCCUGGCUCAGGACGAACGCUGGCGGCGUGUCUUAACACAUGCAAGUCGAACGGAAAGGCCCCUUCGGGGGUGCUCGAGUGGCGAACGGGUGAGUAACACGUGGGUGAUCUGCCCUGCACUUUGGGAUAAGCCUGGGAAACUGGGUCUAAUACCGAAUACACCCUGCUGGUCCCAUGGCCUGGUGGGGGAAAGCUUUUGCGGUGUGGGAUGGGCCCGCGGCCUAUCAGCUUGUUGGUGGGGUGAUGGCCUACCAAGGCGACGACGGGUAGCCGGCCUGAGAGGGUGUCCGGCCACACUGGGACUGAGAUACGGCCCAGACUCCUACGGGAGGCAGCACUGGGGAAUAUUGCACAAUGGGCGCAAGCCUGAUGCAGCGACGCCGCGUGGGGGAUGACGGCCUUCGGGUUGUAAACCCCUUUCAGUAUCGACGAAGCCGUGAGGUGACGGUAGGUACAAAAAAAGCACCGGCCAACUACGUGCCAGCAGCCGCGGUA